rnacentral:rRNA from 2 species
ACAUACGACCAUAGACUGAGGAGAAUUGGGCAUCCCGUCCGCUCUGCCAUACACAAGCCUCAGAUCGGUAGAUUAGUAGUUGGGUGGGUGACCACCAGCGAAUCCCUACUGUUGUAUGUA